rfam:Zebrafish DNA sequence from clone DKEY-98O11 in linkage group 18 Contains the gene for a novel protein (zgc:56258) and a CpG island.
UGUCCUUCACGGCUCUUUUUGCGGUCUGGGCUUGCUGUUCCUUAAAUCACCAGUCAGGAAGCCCUUACCCCAAAAAGUAUCUGUGUGGGAUC